UGGGGAAUUUUGGACAAUGGGCGCAAGCCUGAUCCAGCCAUGCCGCGUGCGGGAAGAAGGCCUUCGGGUUGUAAACCGCUUUUGUCAGGGAAGAAAUCUUCUGAGUUAAUACCUCGGGAGGAUGACGGUACCUGAAGAGUAAGCACCGGCUAACUACGUGCCAGCAGCCGCGGUAAUACGUAGGGUGCAAGCGUUAAUCGGAAUUACUGGGCGUAAAGCGUGCGCAGGCGGUUUUGUAAGACAGAGGUGAAAUCCCCGGGCUCAACCUGGGAACUGCCUUUGUGACUGCAAGGCUUGAGUGCGGCAGAGGGGGAUGGAAUUCCGCGUGUAGCAGUGAAAUGCGUAGAUAUGCGGAGGAACACCGAUGGCGAAGGCAAUCCCCUGGGCCUGCACUGACGCUCAUGCACGAAAGCGUGGGGAGCAAACAGGAUUAGAUACCCUGGUAGUCCACGCCCUAAACGAUGUCAACUGGUUGUUGGGAAGGUUCCUUCUCAGUAACGUAGCUAACGCGUGAAGUUGACCGCCUGGGGAGUACGGCCGCAA
rnacentral:rRNA from 1 species